UACAGAGGUCCCAAGCGUUGUUCGGAUUCACUGGGCGUAAAGGGCGCGUAGGUGGCCAGGUAAGUCUGAUGUGAAAUCUCGGAGCUCAACUCCGAAACUGCAUUGGAUACUAUCUGGCUGGAGGGUCGGAGGGGGGACUGGAAUUCUCGGUGUAGCAGUGAAAUGCGUAGAUAUCGAGAGGAACACCAGUGGCGAAGGCGAGUCCCUGGACGACUCCUGACACUGAGGCACGAAAGCUAGGGGAGCAAACAGG
rnacentral:rRNA from 1 species